rnacentral:rRNA from 1 species
UACGAAGGGGGCUAGCGUUGCUCGGAAUUACUGGGCGUAAAGGGCGCGUAGGCGGAUAGUUUAGUCAGAGGUGAAAGCCCAGGGCUCAACCUUGGAACUGCCUUUGAUACUGGCUAUCUUGAGUUCGGGAGAGGUGAGUGGAAUGCCGAGUGUAGAGGUGAAAUUCGUAGAUAUUCGGCGGAACACCAGUGGCGAAGGCGACUCACUGGCCCGAUACUGACGCUGAGGCGCGAAAGCAUGGGUAGCGAACAGG